GACGAACGCUGGCGGCGUGGAUUAGGCGUGCAAGUCGAACGGUAUCAUCCUUUCGGGGGUGAGAGAGUGGCGAACUGGUGAGUAACACGUAGGUUAUCUACCCUCAAGACGGGGACAACCCAGGGAAACUUGGGCUAAUACCGGAUGUGAGCAACUUUUAGUUGUUUGAAAGGUGGCGUAAGCUGUCGCUUGGGGAUGAGCCUGCGUCCUAUUAGUUAGUUGGUGAGGUAACGGCUCACCUAGGCAAUGAUAGGUAGGCGGCCUUAACGGGUGGUCGCCCACACUGGGAUUGAGAUACGGCCCAGACUCCUACGGGAGGCAGCAGUCGAGAAUAGUCUACAAUGGUCGGAAGACUGAUAGUGCGACGCCGCGUGAACGAUGAAUCCCUUCGGGGUGUAAAGUUCUUUUAUAUGUGAGCAGUGCUUCUUAUAUUAACAGUAUGGGGAGAGAGAUAUUAGCAUAUGAAUAAGCAACGGCUAACUCCGUGCCAGCAGCCGCGGUAAACUCGUCU
rnacentral:rRNA from 1 species